rnacentral:lncRNA from 1 species
CCUUUAUGAGGUGCAACCAAAACAGCUGUUUGACAUAGCAACAGGGAUAUUCGGUCAAGGUGUCUCUCUAGCAUUUGUUCUUAAUACCGUUGUGGUUUUGAUCACUAAAAUGGCUGUGACUUUUGGACUCUCGUUGAGGUAAUUCUAAUGGGCAUCAUGCCUACACUGGACCUGAACCAACUGGAUCCUAUGCCAAAGCAAGUGUGGUGCCUAGUCCAAAUGCUAAAGCUACUGGCCACAAUGCCACGUCAGCAGAAGCUACUGGCCACAAUGCCACGUCAGCAGAAGCUACUGGCCACAAUGCCACGCCAGCAGAAUCUACUGGCCACAAUGCCCCGUCAAGUGUGAAGUCCGGCCCCAGCGCCUCAGCAGAAGCGUCCGGCCCCGGCGCCUCAGCAGAAGCGUCCGGCGCCUCAGCAGAAGCGUCCGGCCCCGGCGCCUCAGCAGAAGCGUCCGGCGCCUCAGCAGAAGCGUCCGGCCCCGGCGCCUCAGCAAUAGCGUCCGGCGCCUCAGCAAUAGCGUCCGGCCCCGGCGCCUCAGCAAUAGCGUCCGGCGCCUCAGCAGAAGCGUCCGGCCCCGGCGCCUCAGCAGAAGCGUCAAGCCUUGAACAGACCGCCCGACCACUCAACUAGGGGAGAUCAUAAUUUGGUUUGCAUAACUCCUUAAUUGUUGUUCCCCUGUUACUGUGCCUCCCUUUAGAAGAAAAGGUAACUGAGGUGGGGAAAUGUGCCAACUAAGGCUCUUGUUUGAAAUGAGGAUCUCCUUCACUUGUCCAGCGUCAUGCAAAUUGUUUACAGGGGUGGACGCUACAAUGGUAUAAAUGGUUUUUAUAACCAUACGACUAAAAUUGACUUCUGACUUGCCAAUAUUGCUGACACA